rnacentral:rRNA from 1 species
AUUGAACGCUGGCGGCAUGCCUAACACAUGCAAGUCGAGCGAGCGGCGGACUGGUGAGUAAUGUAUGGGGAUCUGCCCGAUAGAGGGGGAUAACUACUGGAAAAGUUGGCUAAUACCGCUUACUAUCGUUUGAACCCUUAGGGGAUUAGCUAGCAGGUGGGGUAAAGGCUGACCUAGGCGACGGUCCCUAGCUGGUCUGAGAGGAUGACCAGCCAUAUUGGAACUGAGACACGGUCCAGAGUCCUACGGGAGGCAGCAGUGGGGAAUAUUGGGCAAUGGGCGAAAGCCUGAGGCAGCCAUGCCGCGUGUGUGAAGAAGGCCUUCGGGUUGUAAAGCACUUUCGGCGAAGAAGCGUUACUCGAAGAGGAAGCACCGGCUAACUACGUGCCAGCAGCCGCGGUAAGAC